UACGGGCCGGCUNGAGUGCGGUAGGGGAGACUGGAACUCCUGGUGUAGCGGUGGAAUGCGCAGAUAUCAGGAAGAACACCGGUGGCGAAGGCGGGUCUCUGGGCCGUUACUGACGCAGAGGAGCGAAAGCGUGGGGAGCGAACAGGAUUAGAUACCCUGGUAGUNCACGCCGUAAACGUUGGGCACUAGGUGUGGGGGGCCUUUUCCGGGUCUUCCGCGCCGUAGCUAACGCAUUAAGUGCCCCGCCUGGGGAGUACGGCCGCAAGGCUAAAACUCAAAGGAAUUGACGGGGGCCCGCACAAGCGGCGGAGCAUGCGGAUUAAUUCGAUGCAACGCGAAGAACCUUACCAAGGCUUGACAUGUGCCGGUCUGCUCCGGAGACGGGGUUUCCUCCUUUGUGGGGGCUGGUUCACAGGUGGUGCAUGGUUGUCGUCAGCUCGUGUCGUGAGAUGUUGGGUUAAGUCCCGCAACGAGCGCAACCCUUGUCUCGUGUUGCCAGCACGUUGUGGUGGGGACUCGCGGGAGACUGCCGGGGUCAACUCGGAGGAAGGUGGGGAUGACGUCAAAUCAUCAUGCCCCUUAUGUCUUGGGCUUCACGCAUGCUACAAUGGCCGGUACAGAGGGCUGCGAUACCGUGAGGUGGAGCGAAUCCCUUAAAGCCGGUCUCAGUUCGGAUCGGUGUCUGCAACUCGACACCGUGAAGUUGGAGUCGCUAGUAAUCGCAGAUCAGCAACGCUGCGGUGAAUACGUUCUCGGGCCUUGUACACACCGCCCGUCACGUCAUGAAAGUCGGCAACACCCGAAGCCCGUGGCCCUAUGGGG
rnacentral:rRNA from 1 species